GUGUGUGUGUGUGUGUGUGUGUGUAAAUUGGAAUGAUACGGAGAGGAUUAGCAUGGCCUCUGUGCAAGGAUGACAUACAAAUUUGUGAAUCAUGCUUUAUUUUU